UAAGCAUAUCAAUAAGCGGAGGAAAAGAAACCAACAGGGAUUGCCUCAGUAACGGCGAGUGAAGCGGCAAAAGCUCAAAUUUGAAACCGCUCCGGCGGGUUGUAAUUUGAAGAUUGUGUUCUGGAGUCGACCACGCCUAUGUUCCUUGGAACAGGACGUCACAGAGGGUGAGAAUCCCGUGCGGCGUGGCCCCCGGCUCCUUAUAGAUCACUCUCGACGAGUCGAGUUGUUUGGGAAUGCAGCUCAAAGUGGGUGGUAAAUUCCAUCUAAAGCUAAAUAUUGGCGAGAGACCGAUAGCGAACAAGUACAGUGAUGGAAAGAUGAAAAGCACUUUGAAAAGAGAGUGAAACAGUACGUGAAAUUGUUGAAAGGGAAGGGCAUGCCGUCAGAUUGCCAGUAUCGAUUGCCAGGGAGGGAAAAAAGCGCAGGAAUGUGGCCCUAGGGUGUUAUAGCCUGCGUCAAUACCUCCUCUAGCGAUCGAGGACUGCUUUUAGGAUACUGGCGUAAUGACGGUACGCCGCCCGUCUUGAAACACGGACCAAGGAGUCUAACGUCUAUGCAAGUGUUUGGGUGUAAAACCCGUACGCGAAAUGAAAGUGAACAGAUGAGUUUCAUCAUCGACCGAUCCUGAUGUGUUCGGAUGGAUUUGAGUAUGAGCAUAGCUGUUGGGACCCGAAAGAUGGUGAACUAUGCCUGAAUAGGGUGAAGCCAGAGGAAACUCUGGUGGAGGCUCGUAGCGGUUCUGACGUGCAAAUCGAUCGUCGAAUUUGGGUAUAGGGGCGAAAGACUAAUCGAACCAUCUAGUAGCUGGUUCCUGCCGAA
rnacentral:rRNA from 1 species